AGGCUUAUGUGAAAGCCUUCUGCCCCACCGGACAAUUGCAUCAGAAACUGUUGAACUUGAGUGCAGAAGAGGAGAGUGGAACUCCAUGUGUAGCGGUGGAAUGCGUAGAUAUAUGGAAGAACACCAGUGGCGAAGGCGGCUCUCUGGUCUGCAACUGACGCUGAGGCUCGAAAGCAUGGGUAGCGAA
rnacentral:rRNA from 1 species